rnacentral:lncRNA from 1 species
GAUGAACGAGGACACAGUUUGGUGAGAGAACCAGCACUUAAUCUGAAGCCAUUCUGUGCAUCCCUGACACAAAGAUGCUGGUUCUGCACCUGACACUUAAACUUUGUGGUCUUCCACCCCGAUUUUCUCACCAAGUGCACUUUUCAAAACAUGUAAAUGUAAGGAAUAAUUAUUAUUAUUAAACGUGCAGUACGUGGUGCUCAUGUUUAUUCAAUGAAGCCUUUUGGAAAAUUGGUCAGUUUUCUUACCUUUCUGGACAUGGACAGUAGACCGGACACACAGUUUCAAAGGAGGGACUGAGAGCUCUCGGACUAAAUCUAAAAUAUCUUAAACUGUGUUCUGAAGAUAGACGGAGCUUUUACUGGUUUGGAACGACAUGAGGGUGAGUCAUUAAUGACAUAAUUUUCAUUUUUUUGGUGAACUAACCCUUUAACUGCGUUUGUAGAUGGCACCGCUAGCCAGACUGAUAUACCCAACACAGACCGGAAGUUAACUUAGGGCCAGGCGCGUGUGCCUGAUGAAGUCUAUAUAAGGUCAUGGUGUAAAGUAGUCAGCUCCAUCAUCACAUGGAUUUCAAAUUCAAAGGAAAGUGAGCCAGUUUUGAGAGAGAUUUGCUGUCACUUGCACCAUUUUGGGGGAAAAGUGGUAAAUCUCACAGUUUUCUUUAUUUCCCUUCAUUUCCAUAUUUCGCUUGUGCUUUUCAAUUUUUUGCUCUGUGCUGACCCCUGUUCCCUUCAUCCAGCCAUCUAUAUCCCCACCUCCACCUCCUUUUUGUUUCUUUCCAUGUGCUGUGACUCAAUAACUCCCAGCAUGCAGUUUCAGCACACACACACACACAUACACGGAGGAGUACAGAACAAACACAUCUCCUGGAUCCUGAGCACCAAAAACUACACUCAUCAUUUAUCAGCUUGCUAA